rnacentral:rRNA from 1 species
AUUGAACGCUGGCGGCAUGCCUUACACAUGCAAGUCGAACGGUAACGGGCCUUCGGGUGCCGACGAGUGGCGAACGGGUGAGUAAUACAUCGGAACGUGCCCGAUCGUGGGGGAUAGCGAGGCGAAAGCUUUGCUAAUACCGCAUACGAUCUACGGAUGAAAGCAGGGGACCGCAAGGCCUUGCGCGGACGGAGCGGCCGAUGGCAGAUUAGGUAGUUGGUGGGAUAAAAGCUUACCAAGCCGACGAUCUGUAGCUGGUCUGAGAGGAUGAUCAGCCACACUGGGACUGAGACACGGCCCAGACUCCUACGGGAGGCAGCAGUGGGGAAUUUUGGACAAUGGGCGCAAGCCUAAUCCAGCCAUGCCGCGUGCAGGAUGAAGGCCUUCGGGUUGUAAACUGCUUUUGUACGGAACGAAAAGCCUUCUUUUAAUACAGGAGGGUCAUGACGGUACCGUAAGAAUAAGCACCGGCUAACUACGUG